GAUAUGUCAAUAAAAGUGCUGUGUCCCUCUGGGAAAUAUUUAACACUGGUGAGUCUGUAUGUGUAGUCCAAUCUGUCUAUACAUUAAUAAUAACUAUUUAUUUAAUAAAUGUUGUUUCAAAAUUGUCCAACAUAUAGAAUGAAUGGAAAAUCCUUUAAUAAGGGAUGAAGUAAUUUUAUAUUUGUAUGUAUUGUAAAGCAUCAUUUCUACUUGUAGCCCUCAAGUUAUGGUUAAAGAAAAUCGUAAGAUACAAUAUGUGCAUUUUCCUUUGUUUACUUCUGUAACAUAAUGACAUCACCGUGUAACACUAUCCUGCUAUCCUGCUAUCCUGCUAUCCUGGCUCCAAAAUGGUGGAAUGAGCUCCCCAUUGAAAUCAGGACAGCAGAUAGCUUACACAUCUUCCGGCGCAGACUGAAAACUCAUCUCUUUCGACUCCACUUCGAGCAAUAGAAUUACUAACAAAGCACUUAUAUACUAACAAAGGACUGGCUUUGUUAUGGUUUAGGUGUUUUGCUUUCUCCUCCUCCCCUCUGUCUUCUCUCUCUCUCCUGUGCAGUGUGGUGAUCGUUAGAAGGCGCAGCUGGUUCACAAUGAGGAGCACCUGUACUCAUCUAAUCAACUCCUCCAUAAAACCCUGGUCAUGUUCACACUCCAGUGCCAGAUAAUUCCGUCUCAAUCGUGUCUGCUCGAGCCAGCCUGAGUCCUGCCACCGCCACCAGCGUGAACUAUAUCCACCUUCAUUUUGUGGAUUGUUUUUUAGUUGCUCCUUUUUUCCUUUAUUAAACUUUGUUAAAAGACUGAA